GAUGAACGCUGGCGGCGUGCCUAAUACAUGCAAGUCGAGCGAACGGACGAGAAGCUUGCUUCUCUGAUGUUAGCGGCGGACGGGUGAGUAACACGUGGAUAACCUACCUAUAAGACUGGGAUAACUUCGGGAAACCGGAGCUAAUACCGGAUGAUAUUUUGAACCGCAUGGUUCAAAAGUGAAAGACGGUCUUGCUGUCACUUAUAGAUGGAUCCGCGCUGCAUUAGCUAGUUGGUAAGGUAACGGCUUACCAAGGCAACGAUGGAUAGCCGACCUGAGAGGGUGAUCGGCCACACUGGAACUGAGACACGGUCCAGACUCCUACGGGAGGCAGCAGUAGGGAAUCUUCCGCAAUGGGCGAAAGCCUGACGGAGCAACGCCGCGUGAGUGAUGAAGGUCUUCGGAUCGUAAAACUCUGUUAUUAGGGAAGAACGUAUGUGUAAGUAACUGUGCACAUCUUGACGGUACCUAAUCAGAAAGCCACGGCUAACUACGUG
rnacentral:rRNA from 1 species